GGGCUGGUAGUUUAGUGGUUAGAAUACUCGGUUGGCAAUCGGGUGAUCCGAGUUCGACUAGCGCUUUAAGAAAGCCGGGGAAAAAUGAGGCGGAUCUAAAUUCUGCUUCAGUUUCCAUUUCGGAGAUAUUAAACGCUACGAAAAUCUCGGCCAGUCCA
rnacentral:tRNA from 1 species